rnacentral:rRNA from 1 species
CUACCCUUGACAUGCUAGGAAGCUCGCAGCAGAUGUGAGUGUGCCCGAAAGGGAACCUAGACACAGGCUGCUGCAUGGCUGUC